rnacentral:rRNA from 1 species
CAGUCGCCGCGGGAAUACGUAGGGUGCGAGCGUUAAUCGGAAUUACUGGGCGUAAAGCGUGCGCAGGCGGUUGUGUAAGACAGGUGUGAAAUCCCCGGGCUUAACCUGGGAACUGCGCUUGUGACUGCACAGCUAGAGUAUGGCAGAGGGGGGUGGAAUUCCACGUGUAGCAGUGAAAUGCGUAGAGAUGUGGAGGAACACCGAUGGCGAAGGCAGCCCCCUGGGCCAAUACUGACGCUCAUGCACGAAAGCGUGGGGAGCAAACAGGAUUAGAUACCCCUGUAGUCCCUGUCUCUUAUAC